GACUUAUUGGUCCAACCAACUCCAUUUCCUCCUUUUUUGGGUGAUCAACAUUCACCUUCGUGGGUCUUCAUCCCUUCAAUCAACUUAUAGAUUGUGUUCUCUUGUGGAUAAGGAUUAUCUCCUUUUUUGGUGAUUUUAUAAGGUCCUUCGUCUUUUGGGAGAAGCACCUUAGGUACACUUUUAACUUCAUUCUUGACUUUCUUUUUUCUUCUUCAUAUUCUUCGUACUUGUUUAUCUUCAAGGUGUAGGUGGUAUAAGAUAAUGGAAUGCUCAGAAUCACCAGACCCUUUCAGUGAAUGUCAAUUCCCAGGUGCCAAUCUGACCUAAUGACUCUCCCUUUUUGUUGCGAGUCCUUUUUGCAUGCUGAAUUUCUAUAGGCUAUAUUACUGUUUACUUGUUUUUGUUAUCGUGUGGCCUACAUAUAGUCUUAUGAUAGACCUAAGUUGUAGCCCUCCCUCUACAUUUUACUCUUUUGUUAAAGAAACUCUGACAGAUGAUAAGGCAAGAAAUUUCAUCCCGCAAACGCAAUUCAAUAGAGAAGUGUGCGUUCCACCUAACCUGGUGACUUUCCUUAGCCAUUUAUUGCGUGUUUAUUGACGAAGUUAAUGACAAGUCCUAAUUUUAAUUUAGAAUUUCACAAGUAUCGGGUGAGUAGAAUAAGGAUAAGAGAAUGCAUGUUUAUCGCAAGGUAAUCCCACGCAUACACUUUAGAUCCUCAUUCAUGUUUACCCUGUUUGGAUAUCAUUUUUAGCCUAUUUCUCAUAGACAAGGAAACAUUCACUUUUAAUCAACCAUAUCAAAAAAAAGCAACUCAUGGCAA
rnacentral:misc_RNA from 1 species